GGGCAUCUAUAGCUCAGUUGGUUAGAGCACACACGCCUGAUAAGCGUGAGGUUGGUGGUGUUCAAGUCCAAUUUAGGCCCACCA
rnacentral:tRNA from 1 species